CAUCUGCGUUACGAUGAAACACAACGUCCACCAUCGACGGGCAGCGUCACUCCCGUCAGAAACGAGGCGUGUUCUUCGGACGCCAAAAAAGCGAUGGAUUUCGCUACUUCUUCCGGUGUUCCAGCACGACCUAAUGGAUUUCAGUAUUGCCAAUAAUGCCUGGACAAACGGCAUUAACUCGAAUCCCUUUAGAUGCCAGUUCUGAAGCAGCACAGCGAGUCAGCUGGGCAAUUGCAGCCUUGCUCAUGCAAUAGGCCAUCAUGUCUGUACACUAAUAAUUAAAAAAGAAUUAUUAAACAAGACAUUUUGGUUUGUAUCGAUUGACGUACUGCUCGUAUUCCAGCGACGCUGGACACGUUGAUGAUAUUUCCUUUGGUUUCCGACAGGUAAGGGAUGACUAAUUUGUUCAUUAAAACAACAACGCGACAAUUAAUGUUCAUUACUUUAUCAAAGUCUUCCAUUUUCAUGUUUUCAAGUCGACUGGCACUGACUAUUCCUGCAUUGGCUACUAAAACGUCAAUUCUCUUGAAGGUUUCGAUAGUUUUCGCUAUUAAAAAAUGGCAGUUUUCUUCUACAGUUAAAUCUCCAGUCAUUGUCACGAUCUAACGGACAAAAUAAACUUAAUUUCCCAUUUGUGUGUGCUUUUUAAAAUUGCACAAAACUUACGUCAUCUGAUGUCAAUUGAGGGUUGGCUGUAAGGCAACGAGAUUUCGUUUCAGCUAAACCUGCCUCGUCAGCUGGAAUAUUCAAGGCAUAAAGAGACAAACGGUAGCCCAGAGUGGCAAAUUGGACAGCCGUGGCCGCCCCGAUUCCGCAACUUGAACCUGGAACACGUGAAAAAUCAACGCAAUAAGUCAAGUGAUUUCGAGAGAAUCGGUAUAAAUUACCGGUGAUAAGAGCAACUUUCCGAACAUUUUCUGGAUCUUGGGCCAUUGCAAUAAUCAAUGUUGUUAUUGUCGAUCAUGAAAGCGACUGGCUAUAUUGAACCAGCAUCAUUUUGCGAUGCGCGAUGAAGUGCAUCAAAAGAGCUUUGGACCUCUUUUAUUGAUAACGUCUUGUUAUCAAUUGCUCUCUACGCACUUUAAGGCAACAUUGAACCGCAUCGUCGCACGUAACCCAAGUAAAAAGAUUCUAAUAUUUAUCUUAAAUCUUUAUAUAUAUGUGAACGGCUAUUUUUUGCUGCAUUUGUGCUGACUAAUGUAGAUAACAUCUUGCAAUGGUUAUCUACCAACCGAAAAAAAUGUAUUUGAUGUGAAUUAUAUGGGCUACAACCUUUUUUCCGCAUUCCACUAAUGAGAUGAAUGACGUCUGUUAAACAAAGAUGAAGGAGCGUUUGCAAAACAGCUCGUUUUCUUACUCCCCCUCUCGAUAUCUAUCUCUUCCUCAAGUGAGUAAUUUUUAAGCAAUUUUGUGAACUAGGUUUGAUAAAAUUCGACUACGUUCAACACAGAAAUUGCGUCUAAAUGGCAAUACACCGUGGCAUCAUUUCUAAUCAACGUCUACGACGACAAAGAAGUUCGCGAAAAAACUGAAUGAGACUCAGGGCAUAGCCAGCAAUGAGAAACAUAAAAGGUGAGCUCGCAUUGCCUGGGGUACUUGUCUUGACGGACGGACCAAUAUUCACGUAAUCCAGCGGCAUGGAACCAUAAAGACCUUGAUGUAUACGUAAAGUUAAUUUGUUUUUAUUAUCUAUUAUUUUAAUCAAAGAAAAAAAUGUACUCUCUUUCAAUUUCCUCCUUGUAUGGACUUGUUUUCGGGAUGGCAAGGAACAUGUUAGCCCACGUCGUUUUCUCCUUGGCCAAAGUUAAAAGACAUUUGCCUCUCUCAGAAGAAUGUUUCUGCAUGUUACCUCUACCACCGCUGGACGUCUGUCGUCACAUAAUCGACACGUUGUGUUACUUGCUUCAAAUCUAAAUUUAAAGAUGCUUACCAUAAUGGCAACGUAAUUGUCGUUUUUUACAACUUGCAAAGCCUGGUCACUGGUGUUGAAUUUCCUGCAAUCAGGACACUGUUUCAUUCUC
rnacentral:lncRNA from 1 species